rnacentral:tmRNA from 1 species
GGGGGCGACAGGUUUCGACGACAGGCUGGAGGGUCCAGAGGAGCGAGCCGAGUUUUCCGCCACCUCGUAAAACGCGGAACCUUAAAGUAACUGCCAACGAUAACUACGCACUGGCUGCUUAAAUAAGCAGUCCGUCGCCAGCCCCUUUACCGUUCGGGUGCUGUCCGACGUCACAUAGGACGGUUGCUCCGGCCGCUUCGCUUCCGUCGGCCGGCUAAGAUCAGGAAGCUGGGGGUGAGGGAUCCUGUCCCUGGGAGCCCGAUCCCCGAGAUCAAAUCAGGGACUACGCUCGUAGCGCUUCUGAGGCCGGCCCCUGUUGGACGGGAGUUCGAUUCUCCCCGCCUCCACCA